UCCAGAUGUCGAAGAUUAUCUGUCCAUUGGAUGCUUGUUGUGGACUUGAUUGGUAACAGACCGUAAAGCGUCGCCGUGAAGCACUGCAGUGUUUCCGCAGGGCCCCCCGGCGUCGCAAGCAUGGGGUCGGGAUGGGACAACCAAGUCGUCGUCCUUCCUAGGAUGCUCAACUGUGCUGCGGACCCAGAAAAUGGAAAUUCUGCUCUUGGACUAUUAACUGUUCUGUAUGCAUGCAAUUUGAAGGUAUUACCCUGUUGCACUCUGAGCAGGUGAGGAUUAGAUGUGCUGGCAGUUCCAGCAUGAGCUAUGAAUUGAGAGACCAGACCGCGCUUGACGUAGCACAGUCAGACCUCUCCGGAACAAAGGGUCAUGUUAAAUUAACGUAGAGUCACAAGAUAGAGCUCAUUUCACAGUUUUUUCCUUUUACCCCAGGAAAAGAACCGAUCCGCGUGAAGACGGCUCCGUUGCGAGGAGAAUCAAUUAUGUUGAGUUUGCGUAUGGGAAGUUAGUCUUGAUCCUUCGGUUGGCAGAACACGUGCAAGUCUCUUCUUCACUGCUGUACAUGAACCAUACUAAGAAAUGGACAAAUGCAAAAGUCCCAUCACCUCACAAAUAGUGGUACGACUACAGAUACGCGCAAUUGGUUGUGAAAGUCAAGUUGCAAACUAAUGAGUUGUAGCAAACUGAAUUGGAAUGUCUCCAUCCUAGAAAACAAUGAACUAAAAGUUACAGAGUGAUACA